GUCUACGGUCACACCACCCUGAAUGCGCCUGAUCUCGUCUGAUCUCGGAAGCUAAGCAGGGUCGGGCCUGGUUAGUACUUGGAUGGGAGAAAAAUGUGAGAUCUGUGCUGCAGCCA
ensembl:rRNA 5S_rRNA 5S ribosomal RNA